AUUGAACGCUGGCGGCAUGCCUUACACAUGCAAGUCGAACGGCAGCACGGGAGCAAUCCUGGUGGCGAGUGGCGAACGGGUGAGUAAUAUAUCGGAACGUGCCCAGUCGUGGGGGAUAACGCAGCGAAAGCUGUGCUAAUACCGCAUACGAUCUAUGGAUGAAAGCGGGGGACCGCAAGGCCUCGCGCGAUUGGAGCGGCCGAUAUCAGAUUAGCUAGUUGGUGGGGUAAAGGCCCACCAAGGCGACGAUCUGUAGCUGGUCUGAGAGGACGACCAGCCACACUGGAACUGAGACACGGUCCAGACUCCUACGGGAGGCAGCAGUGGGGAAUUUUGGACAAUGGGCGCAAGCCUGAUCCAGCAAUGCCGCGUGCAGGAUGUAGGCCUUCGGGUUGUAAACUGCUUUUGUACGGAACGAAACGGUGAGCUUUAAUACAGUUUGCUAAUGACGGUACCGUAAGAAUAAGCACCGGCUAACUACGUGCCAGCAGCCGCGGUAA
rnacentral:rRNA from 1 species